rfam:Macrostomum lignano uti_cns_0003310, whole genome shotgun sequence.
CUUCGCAGGUUAACCCGUGGCCUGAGUGAGGAAGGCAAUGUCCUUGCUAGUCACUAUUUGUGGCGACACCUUCAAAUUGCGCGAAACCCGUCAUACAGCUUCAAGUACCACUUCAAUUGAGAAAUCUUUUGAAGGAACAGAGGUAACUCCUCUUCCCAAAGGUAACAAGCUUGAAGACACGGUGGCAAUGCGCAGCCAAGCUCCUAAGUCGGCAGAUAUGGAGAAGGUUCAGAGAGCAGACGGAGGUGGGCGGUAAUUUAUCCGCUUAAGGUGUGCUCCAGCCUAUUUCGAAAGAUUUAG